rnacentral:pre_miRNA from 1 species
GAGCCGACAUGGCUGAAAGCGCUAACAGUAAACAAUUUAUUCAAAAUAAAUUGUUUACUGUUAGCGCUUUCAGCCAUGUCGGCUC